rnacentral:rRNA from 1 species
ACGGAGGGUCCAAGCGUUAUCCGGAUUUAUUGGGUUUAAAGGGUCCGUAGGCGGAUUUUUAAGUCAGUGGUGAAAGCCUGCAGCUUAACUGUAGAAUUGCCAUUGAUACUGAAAAUCUUGAAUCUAGCUGAAGUGGGCGGAAUAUAACAUGUAGCGGUGAAAUGCAUAGAGAUGUUAUAGAACACCAAUUGCGAAGGCAGCUCACUAAACUAGUAUUGACGCUCAGGGACGAAAGCGUGGGGAGCGAACAGG